GGGUUGUGAGGUUAAGCGACUAAGCGUACACGGUGGAUGCCCUGGCAGUCAGAGGCGAUGAAGGGCGUGCUAAUCUGCGAUAAGCGCCGGUAAGGUGAUAUGAACCGUUAUAACCGGCGAUACCCGAAUGGGGAAACCCAGUGUGAUUCGUCACACUAUCAUUAACUGAAUCCAUAGGUUAAUGAGGCGAACCGGGGGAACUGAAACAUCUAAGUACCCCGAGGAAAAGAAAUCAACCGAGAUUCCCCCAGUAGCGGCGAGCGAACGGGGAGGAGCCCAGAGCCUGAAUCAGCAUGUGUGUUAGUGGAAGCGUCUGGAAAGGCGCGCGAUACAGGGUGACAGCCCCGUACACAAAAGCGCAUGUGCUGUGAGCUCGAUGAGUAGGGCGGGACACGUGGUAUCCUGUCUGAAUAUGGGGGGACCAUCCUCCAAGGCUAAAUACUCCUGACUGACCGAUAGUGAACCAGUACCGUGAGGGAAAGGCGAAAAGAACCCCGGCGAGGGGAGUGAAAAAGAACCUGAAACCGUGUACGUACAAGCAGUGGGAGCACCCUUUGGGGUGUGACUGCGUACCUUUUGUAUAAUGGGUCAGCGACUUAUAUUCUGUAGCAAGGUUAACCGUAUAGGGGAGCCGUAGGGAAACCGAGUCUUAACCGGGCGUUAAGUUGCAGGGUAUAGACCCGAAACCCGGUGAUCUAGCCAUGGGCAGGUUGAAGGUUGGGUAACACUAACUGGAGGACCGAACCGACUAAUGUUGAAAAAUUAGCGGAUGACCUGUGGCUGGGGGUGAAAGGCCAAUCAAACCGGGAGAUAGCUGGUUCUCCCCGAAAGCUAUUUAGGUAGCGCCUCGUGAAUUCAUCUCCGGGGGUAGAGCACUGUUUCGGCUAGGGGGCCAUCCCGGCUUACCAACCCGAUGCAAACUGCGAAUACCGGAGAAUGUUAUCACGGGAGACACACGGCGGGUGCUAACGUCCGUCGUGAAGAGGGAAACAACCCAGACCGCCAGCUAAGGUCCCAAAGUCAUGGUUAAGUGGGAAACGAUGUGGGAAGGCCCAGACAGCCAGGAUGUUGGCUUAGAAGCAGCCAUCAUUUAAAGAAAGCGUAAUAGCUCACUGGUCGAGUCGGCCUGCGCGGAAGAUGUAACGGGGCUAAACCAUGCACCGAAGCUGCGGCAGCGACGCUGAUGCGUUGUUGGGUAGGGGAGCGUUCUGUAAGCCUGUGAAGGUGGCCUGUGAGGGUUGCUGGAGGUAUCAGAAGUGCGAAUGCUGACAUAAGUAACGAUAAAGCGGGUGAAAAGCCCGCUCGCCGGAAGACCAAGGGUUCCUGUCCAACGUUAAUCGGGGCAGGGUGAGUCGACCCCUAAGGCGAGGCCGAAAGGCGUAGUCGAUGGGAAACGGGUUAAUAUUCCCGUACUUGGUGUUACUGCGAAGGGGGGACGGAGAAGGCUAUGUUGGCCGGGCGACGGUUGUCCCGGUUUAAGCGUGUAGGUGUGUGUUCCAGGUAAAUCCGGUUCACUUUAACACUGAGGCGUGACGACGAGGCACUACGGUGCUGAAGCAACAAAUGCCCUGCUUCCAGGAAAAGCCUCUAAGCAUCAGGUAACAUCAAAUCGUACCCCAAACCGACACAGGUGGUCAGGUAGAGAAUACCAAGGCGCUUGAGAGAACUCGGGUGAAGGAACUAGGCAAAAUGGUGCCGUAACUUCGGGAGAAGGCACGCUGACACGUAGGUGAAGUGAUUUACUCAUGGAGCUGAAGUCAGUCGAAGAUACCAGCUGGCUGCAACUGUUUAUUAAAAACACAGCACUGUGCAAACACGAAAGUGGACGUAUACGGUGUGACGCCUGCCCGGUGCCGGAAGGUUAAUUGAUGGGGUCAGCGCAAGCGAAGCUCCUGAUCGAAGCCCCGGUAAACGGCGGCCGUAACUAUAACGGUCCUAAGGUAGCGAAAUUCCUUGUCGGGUAAGUUCCGACCUGCACGAAUGGCGUAAUGAUGGCCAGGCUGUCUCCACCCGAGACUCAGUGAAAUUGAACUCGCUGUGAAGAUGCAGUGUACCCGCGGCAAGACGGAAAGACCCCGUGAACCUUUACUAUAGCUUGACACUGAACAUUGAGCCUUGAUGUGUAGGAUAGGUGGGAGGCUUUGAAGUGUGGACGCCAGUCUGCAUGGAGCCGACCUUGAAAUACCACCCUUUAAUGUUUGAUGUUCUAACGUGGACCCGUUACCCGGGUUGCGGACAGUGUCUGGUGGGUAGUUUGACUGGGGCGGUCUCCUCCUAAAGAGUAACGGAGGAGCACGAAGGUUGGCUAAUCCUGGUCGGACAUCAGGAGGUUAGUGCAAUGGCAUAAGCCAGCUUGACUGCGAGCGUGACGGCGCGAGCAGGUGCGAAAGCAGGUCAUAGUGAUCCGGUGGUUCUGAAUGGAAGGGCCAUCGCUCAACGGAUAAAAGGUACUCCGGGGAUAACAGGCUGAUACCGCCCAAGAGUUCAUAUCGACGGCGGUGUUUGGCACCUCGAUGUCGGCUCAUCACAUCCUGGGGCUGAAGUAGGUCCCAAGGGUAUGGCUGUUCGCCAUUUAAAGUGGUACGCGAGCUGGGUUUAGAACGUCGUGAGACAGUUCGGUCCCUAUCUGCCGUGGGCGCUGGAGAACUGAGGGGGGCUGCUCCUAGUACGAGAGGACCGGAGUGGACGCAUCACUGGUGUUCGGGUUGUCAUGCCAAUGGCACUGCCCGGUAGCUAAAUGCGGAAGAGAUAAGUGCUGAAAGCAUCUAAGCACGAAACUUGCCCCGA
rnacentral:rRNA from 1 species